rnacentral:rRNA from 1 species
GACAGAGGUGCCAAGCGUUAGGCGGAAUCACUGGGCUUAAAGCGUGUGUAGGCGGGUCCGUAAGUGUCUUGUGAAAUCCCACGGCUCAACCGUGGAACUGCUGGGCAUACUGCGGGUCUUGGGCCAACUAGGGGCAGCCGGAACAAGCGGUGGAGCGGUGAAACGCGUAGAUAUCGCUUGGAACGCCGAAGGUGAAAACAGGCUGCUGGGGUUGCGCCGACGCUGAGACACGAAAGCCAGGGGAGCAAACGGG